CCUACGGGCGGCAGCAGUGAGGAAUAUUGGUCAAUGGGCUUACGCCUGAACCAGCCAAGUCGCGUGAGGGAAUAAUGCCCUAUGGGUUGUAAACCUCUUUUGUCGGGGAGCAAUGGGCGCUACGUGUAGCGUUCUCGAGAGUACCUGGAGAAAAAGCAUCGGCUAACUCCGUGCCAGCAGCCGCGGUAAUACGGAGGAUGCGAGCGUUAUCCGGAUUUAUUGGGUUUAAAGGGUGCGUAGGCGGGAUGCUAAGUCAGCGGUAAAAUUUCGGGGCUCAACCUCGCCCCGCCGUUGAAACUGGCGUCCUUGAGUGGGCGAGAAGUAGGCGGAAUGCGUGGUGUAGCGGUGAAAUGCAUAGAUAUCACGCAGAACCCCGAUUGCGAAGGCAGCAUACCGGCGCCCAACUGACGCUGAAGCACGAAAGCGUGGGUAUCGAACAGGAUUAGAUACCCUAGUAGUC
rnacentral:rRNA from 1 species